rnacentral:rRNA from 1 species
GACGAACGCUGGCGGCGUGCUUAACACAUGCAAGUCGAACGGAAAGGCCCUGCUUUUGUGGGGUGCUCGUGUGGCGGACGGGUGAGUAAAACGUGAGUAACCUGCCCUUGACUUUCGGAUAACUUCAGGAAACUGGGGCUAAUAUCGGAUAGGAGCUCCUGCUGCAUGGUGGGGGUUGGAAAGUUUCGGCGGUUGGGGAUGGACUCGCGGCUUCUCCGCUUGUUGGUGGGGUAGUGGCUGACAAAGGCUGUGACGGGUAGCCGGCCUGAGAGGUUGACCGGCGACAUGGGGACUGAGAUACGGCCCAGACUCCUACGGGAGGCAGCAGUGGGGAAUAUUGCGCAAUGGGCGGAAGCCAGAGGCAGCGACGCCGCGUGCGGGAUGACGGCCUUCGGGUUGUAAACCGCUUUCGCCUGUGACGAGGCGGGAGUGACGGUAAUGGGUAAAGAAGCACCGGCUAACUACGUG